AUGUGGAAAAGGAUGAGAAGUGUUUUCUGCUGGGGAACACACUGUUUGCUGAAGUUAAUGGCCAUUGUGGCUGGUGGGGCACUGCUCCUGAUGAUGUGUUUUGCCGGAAUCUGGUAUUGCUGCAAGAGGAAACAGUGCUCCUGUGCAGAUACAGAAGAGCGGCCCAAAAGCACAGGCAGCGACAACUUGCCUCGUGACAGUUCUCCGUGUCAGUCCCCAUGUGCCCUGGCGUGGCUGCACCCCCGUCUGCGGUGCACCCCAGCACCUCCAAAACGAGAACCCCUGCCCCCGAGCCCCCUGGCCCUGCUCCCCGGCUCAUGCUGAAGUUGGGCAGCCCCUGGUUCGUGUUCAAAUAAAGAAAUUGCGUUUUCAAAGCUCUGUCCGGGUGGUACCUCCAGCAAAGCCCACACGGCACCAGCACUGGCUGAGCUCCCUGUCCAGGAGCAGCCAUGGACGCCCACGGCGCGGGCAGGCAGCAGCCGGGCAGGGGCUGCUGAGACCAGCGGCGAGGCCUCGAGGGGCUGGGGAUGCCUCCCUGGGCUCAGGGCACAUCUCCCUCACUG
rnacentral:lncRNA from 12 species